AACGAACGCUGGCGGCAGGCUUAACACAUGCAAGUCGAACGCCCCGCAAGGGGAGUGGCAGACGGGUGAGUAACGCGUGGGAGUCUACCUAGUUCUACGGAACAACAGUUGGAAACGACUGCUAAUACCGUAUACGCCCUAUGGGGGAAAGAUUUAUCGGAAUUAGAUGAGCCUGCGUAAGAUUAGCUAGUUGGUGAGGUAAUGGCUCACCAAGGCGACGAUCUUUAGCUGGUCUGAGAGGAUGAUCAGCCACACUGGGACUGAGACACGGCCCAGACUCCUACGGGAGGCAGCAGUGGGGAAUAUUGGACAAUGGGCGCAAGCCUGAUCCAGCCAUGCCGCGUGAGUGAUGAAGGCCUUAGGGUUGUAAAGCUCUUUCAGUAGGGAAGAUAAUGACGGUACCUACAGAAGAAGCCCCGGCUAACUUCGUGCCAGCCGCCGCAGUAAUAC
rnacentral:rRNA from 1 species